UAGACUGUUGCAGGGAUGGUCCCCCAGUUGUUUACACCUUACCUAUCUUCACACCCUUGGCUGCCCUCUUCUCACAUUGAUUCUGGGCUCAGUCACAUGACGUACUUUGGCCAACAGACCAUCAGCAAACGUGACAGAUACUUAUAAAAUACUUCUGCACUGGGUUUGUGCGCCCUCUCUUGUUCUCCUUGGAACCCUCAUGUGGAAAGCCCGGGCUGGGCUGCAGUAGCACGCACGGACACACACGGAGCACGAGUGAGCUGUUCCUGCCCAGACCUCUCCAGACCCAGCAGCCUCCCAACCACCAGACAGGCGAGGGAGGGCCUCUCUGCCCAUCCAGCCCGGGCUGUGCUAUCCACACCAGAAGAAAUACCCAGAAGACCCACAGGAUCAUAACAUUCUGAAAACUGCUUACUUGUGCCUGAAGAACCAGGUAUCCUGGAGUGAAGAGGGGGAGAAGUACCAGGUGCAAGACCAUCUGAGAGUCAGAAAUCAUUGAAAUCUCACAUUUGCAUUUUGUGCUUGGCUCUAGGAAAAGCCCUCAGGGAAGGGGCCCAGCUGCCAAGAAGUUUCCCAACAUCGCUGCCACCCUCACCGUACCUGUUCCUGGCCCAAGUGGAGGCCCCAGUGGGAAACAUGUGUGCUGUCUCACUUUCAUCUGGGAGCUGGAACGUUCUGGAAGGUUUGUUCCUAUGCGGGACAAGCCAAGAACUCUAAGGAGUUCUAAGCUAAGUUCUCUAAGCCGAGAACCCUGCAGAGUGCGGGGAGCACAGUGAGAUGCAGCUGAUGACAGCUGUCACAAACAUUGACCACUGAAUUUAGAAAACAGGGGGAACAGGCAUGGGUCACUUAUCAGUACUUUACCCCAGUGGGCGGGGUUCCGGUGAAAGUAGUCAAGGAGGGGAAGCUCAGCAAAGAGGACACAAAGGAUAUUUUAUUUAACCAAGAGCUUCUCCUCCUCAAGGGCUGUAGACAUAAAAAGGCAACAUUUUCCCAGCAGACUAGGAAAGUGUUAAAUUAUACUGGUGUUUACUCUCUCAUUUCCAAGGCCUGGAAGCGGAUGGGAUAUUUAUUUUUAUUAUCUCUCUGAUGUGUUUAGAGACCCUAAUGAGGGCAGAAAGUAAACAAACAUUUGAUUGAAAACAGAGAUGUCAAUAUGCACCCUCUACCUAUUGUUGAUACAGAAGAAAGCAAUUUCAAUAAGAUUGAAACAAUUAGACUUGAAGAUUGCUGUAUGCAAACCACAUGAAAAUGGCAGCCUACUGCUCAGUGUGUAGAAAAAAAUAAACCACUGUCUGUUGGUGGUUUUUUCUUCUGAUUAUAUUAAAGUAAAUGCUUGCAUGUUAUAUUUACUGAAGUUGAAAACUGUACUGAGGUUAUGUAAGAGAAUAUUCCUAUUCUUAGGACACAUACACUGAAGUAAUUGGUAAAAUACCACGAAGAAUGUAACUUGCCCUCAAAUGGUUCAGAAAAAUAUUAUGUGUGACUAUUAAAAAUAUAUCUGGAUCGGUCUCUCUCUCUCCCAUUGCCUAUCCCCAAAAAACAGAAGGACAAAGCAAAUGGAGUAAAAUGUUAACAAUAGUUGGGCCAGGACAAUGGCUCACACCUAUAAUCCCAGCACUUUGGGAGGCUGAGGCUGGAGCAACAUUCAAGGCCAGGAAUUCGGAUCAGCCUGGGCAACACAGCAAGACCUCUAUCUGCCUCCCCUCCGCCCAAAAAAUUAAAAAAUUAGCUGACGUAGUGGUAUACACUUGCAGUCUCAGCUACUCCGGAGGCUGAGGUGAAAGAAUUGCUUGAGUCAGGAGUUCCAGGUUACAGUGAGCUAGGACUGUGCCCCUGCACUCUAGCCUGGGCAACACAGCAAGACCCUGUUUCAAUAAAUAAAUGUUGAAUUUGGGUACAGGCUAUAGAACGUUCUUUGUGCUAUUCUUAUUUUUGAUGUUUUUGGAAAUUUGAAAUUAUUUCCAAAUAAGUUAAAAGUCAUAUAAAAUCAAAUGAAGCUGUAAGAAAAUCACUGAGGUUUCACAAGCAUUCCAAAAGCAUCCUGGUAAGUGCUGGAUACCAGACUCUCAAUUUAACAAGCUGCCCGGGCUAAAAUCCUCGUCUUUUUAAAUUAAAAAAAUUUUUUUUGAGAUGGGGUUCUCACUCUGUUGCCCAGGCUGGAGUGCAGUGGAGAGAUCUCAGCUCACUGCAACCUCUGCCUCCUAGGCUU